UAUAUAUAUCUAUAUAUACAUUUUUCAGCAAUUUUGUGAAAUAAAUAUAUAGUUGAGACUUAUUUACAAUAGCUGCCACUGGAUUUUAAUGUUUGUUUUUGAUAAUUAGGAAAAAAAUCUUCAAAUUAAAUAUUUGACAUUUAACAAUCUUCCCUAAAUCUCUCCACAUUAACUACACGAUUAGUUACUAAAAUAAAACUUCCAAAAUAUUUAAUAUCAUUUAUUUACUACAAAAUUAUCAUUUUUGAUAUUGUUUUUCUCGAUGACUAUAACAAUUCAAUUAUAAUCGUCAAACCGCAGAGAUAUUUGAUAGCAUUUAAUUAUUACAAAAUUACAAAAUAUUUAGACAAUAAUUCAUAAACAUAUUAUAAAUAAGAUUAACAUUAAUAAAAUAAAUGUUUUUUUAUGGGACGGGUUGGCGGGACGGGUUUGACAGGACGUUACUUAAUAACAAUUGUAAACUAUAAAAUAAAAAUAUUUAUAGAUAGAUACAAUUUGCAAACUUUUAUGUAUACUAACUUUAAAAAAUAAAUUGUUUCCGCGGUGUACUGCGGGUUAAAAUCUAGUAUAUAUAUAAAGCGUCAAGGGAUUUGAAAGCGUUCUGAUCGAUCCAUGAGAUACUU
rnacentral:sRNA from 1 species